GAGAACGAUAUGAGAAUGCAAAGGACACUUCACACUUGCAUUCCGAUCUAUAAGGCAAAGGACCUCAGCAAUGGCUUGUGAUCUGCUUAGCAUUCCGAUCACAACAGUGGCUUCAGAAUCCUCCUUUAGCAUCGGUUCGAGAGUUCUGAACAAAUACAGGAGCCGUCUACUUCCCAAAAAUGUGCAGGCGCUGAUAUGUAGUAGGAAUUGGCUAAAAGGAUUCGAAGCUUAUGAACAUGGUAAAUUAUUCACUUUGUUAUAUAUUUUAGGGUGUCAUGUUCUUUAAAUCUAAUUAACUUUGAUUUUUAAUAUUUACAGAAGAUGAAAUGGAUGGUGAAGAAGAGAUAGUUGAAGUUGAAGAAGAAGAAACUUGAUUUUUAUUUUGAACUGGUCUUUUUAUUUUAUUCGCAUUAUGGAUUUUGUGGCGUUCUUUUUCCCUUGUCGGGUUUUGUCCCAAUGAGUUUUCCCGAUAAGGUUUUUACCGAAGCCACGUUAUAUUGCUUGGACUAAACUAUUUUGUUGCUUCUGUUUUUUAAUAGGUUUGACUUCUUUUUUUUUUUAAACAACUUAAUAAGUUUGACUUCUAAGUUGUUAUAAUGCUCGUUAAGUUGAACUGAAGUAUGAACACAAGAAUAAUGUUUGUACAAGGAACUUGCAUUCAAAUGAAAACUUUGAAAUGAUGACUCGUUAUGUUAAGUAAUCUAUGUUUGUUACGUUUGUAUUGAACACAAGAGUAAUGUUAUGUAAGAUACGUUUCUGAAAUGUAUGAUAGAGGUUCAUAUACUUAUGAAUGGUGACCCGCGGGCCUGCCCGCAAAGACCUGUGCAAUAGGCGGGGCGGGAUUGGUCAAUGCUUCUCGGUACCGCAUCCCGCGGCGGGCCAGCCCGCUGUGACCCGACUGAACUUGAGCCCGUGGCGGGGCGGACCAUUUGGUUGCGGGUGGGCUCGUUUGCCAUCUCUAUUCAAAACCAUAGACAGACUGAUCCGGAACAUUCUCCUUGCAAGGAAGAACUUCAAGUCAUUCAAGAACCUUAUGCAAGUGUGGCUAAAGCACUUAUAGUUAGUGGUUGUUUGCUCUGUUUAGCUUUCAACUAGUCUUCUAGUGUCUUUCGUUGUUUAUUAAUCUUUUUUUUUUUUGGCAACGUAGGACUAAUCCGCCUUCCUUUUGGUACAUGUACAAACUCUUUCAUUUUUAAUGAUGUUCACAUGCUUAUCAAAAAAAAAAAAGUUUGCACGACAUAUGGCCCAUAAUUCACAAACGAAAACUAUGGUCGAGAUAUUGUGCCAUAUGUAAUAUAGCUGAGGUUUGUCCAUUUGAGAUUCUCUUAGAUAUCUUAUAUCCGUAUCUCAAAUCCAUCUAAGCCAAUAAUUGUGUUUUUAAAAACCUAAUUAUGAAGAUCUUUGUUUUCUACAACAAAACAAGCUACUCAUGCACAUUUUAAACGUAAACUGACACAUUUUUAGCAGAACAUGCAUUGAGUAUAUUCUAUUUUACGGUGCAUAAAACUUUUUAUUAUAACCGAACCAACAUAACAUAUAUCAGGUACAUGUCAUAAAAUCACUCAUUGAUAGUGACACAGACUUAUUUUAUGUAAAUUACACAAAACUAACCACCAAAGAGUUUGCGCAUAAGUU